AACGAACGCUGGCGGCAUGCCUAACACAUGCAAGUCGAACGAGACCUUCGGGUCUAGUGGCGCACGGGUGCGUAACGCGUGGGAACCUGCCCUUAGGUUCGGAAUAACUCCCCGACAGGGGUGCUAAUACCGGAUAAUGUCUUCGGACCAAAGAUUUAUCGCGUUUGGAUGGGCCCGCGUUGGAUUAGCUAGUUGGUAGGGUAAAAGCCUACCAAGGCGACGAUCCAUAGCUGGUCUGAGAGAAUGAUCAGCCACACUGGGACUGAGACACGGCCCAGACUCCUACGGGAGGCAGCAGUGGGGAAUAUUGGACAAUGGGCGAAAGCCUGAUCCAGCAAUGCCGCGUGAGUGAUGAAGGCCUUAGGGUUGUAAAGCUCUUUUACCCGGGAUGAUAAUGACAGUACCGGGAGAAUAAGCUCCGGCUAACUCCGUG
rnacentral:rRNA from 1 species